GGGCUGCUUGCUAUCAGCAAAGUAGAGAGAUUUAACGGAUCUUGCCGAGAAUGCAAGCCUCAUUCCAAGGAAGCCAGAGCUCAGAAGACAUGGAACAAAUACAAUGAAAACAUAACUUGAGGUCGGAAAAUGUCCCCUGAAUAUUUAUGUCAAUGUCCUACCUUAGUGAAUAUUACUUAAUACUGUGGCUCCUUUAAAGCAUUGUGAUUUCAUUAUGAAGUCAGAUGGAAUGAGGAGUGUGUAAAUCCAGAAUCAGAAUCCCAGCGACGAAGCUUUUCUUGCUCUGUUACCUUGGAAAAUGCUUUGAACCAGACCAGAUAAGAAAAGUAAAAGUCUGGAGUGUAAUCCUUCCAAUUGUCUUUUGGCUUCUCUUCUACUUCUACAAAAAGUUCAACAAGUCGGUGGGCAGAAGUCUAAAAUCAAGGUGUCAGCAGUGUGGAAUCCUUCUGGAGGCUUUGAGAAGAGGACACUGAAGCCAAAGGAGAAAAUUAACUAGCUCAGUCUUGCAUGACCCCUGUGAAUGGACUGAUCUUGAAACCCAGGUAACCUUACUCCCUGGUCCCAGCCUUUGUUAAUGGGGACACAAUCCUGGAAAUUUUGCCUGUGUGUAAACCUCUAGGGGCUUUUUCUUUCAUCGUUUUACAUCAGCCAGACUCUGACUCACAGCUGGAGAAUCAGCUUCCUUAUUAUGUAGCGAAUUCCAUGAACACACACCAAGAGUUGUUUUCUGUAACAGGCUGAAGUAGCUUCUUCUCCCAGUCUCUUUCUCCCAUCAAAAUUAGAAUAUCUUUCCUUGGAAAACUGUGCCCAGGUUGAGGGGGACUUCUCCCUGGUUUUGUGUAGACUCUUUGAUAUGCUCCAAACUCAACGCCUUUCCUUCAAUCCCUGGGGCCUUAGGAACAGCCAACCCACAUGUGGUGGGAAGUGAGGCGAGGGGGAAAGAGGAAUGUGAGGGAGACACAAACACAGCACAAUGUUUUCUUUCUGAGAAACUUCAUCAAGGCUCCGAUUCCAGUGACCUCACCUUCAAGCAAUGCCAGCUCCUUUGCUUUAAAUCAAAGUUGACAUGUGGUGGUGGUUCACAUAUUUGGAGUCUAAUGAGCCUGCAGCUUCUAAUGCUGCAAAGGAAAUCCUGAGAGUAAUAUCUGCCCUCUGAGAUCAGAGGUGGUCAAUAACCUUAAUGUAUGUCAGCUUCCACACUUUACUCCAGAAUUCUUAAGGAAGGUACACAUGAAAGGUUGGGCUGUCUAUGUAGUGAGCAGCAUUCAAAUUGGGACACUUACCGCAACCCGCCAGUAUACAUUCUGUAGUCUAAUUUCAAGAAAAUGAAACUGAAUUAUACAAACAGGCUCUCAAUUGAUCUUCCUACUUUUAUUCUUGUCUCGUAAUCUUAUGUUUUUUUCUCAAAGCACUGAAUGUCCUUUCCCGGCUCAAAUUCUUCUAGUCCUUACUUGUCACAAAUAGAAUAUAAUCGAUGUGCCUUUUGAUGU
rnacentral:lncRNA from 1 species